AAAUUGAAGAGUUUGAUCAUGGCUCAGAUUGAACGCUGGCGGCAGGCCUAACACAUGCAAGUCGAACGGUAACAGGAAGAAGCUUGCUUCUUUGCUGACGAGUGGCGGACGGGUGAGUAAUGUCUGGGAAACUGCCUGAUGGAGGGGGAUAACUACUGGAAACGGUAGCUAAUACCGCAUAACGUCGCAAGACCAAAGAGGGGGACCUUCGGGCCUCUUGCCAUCGGAUGUGCCCAGAUGGGAUUAGCUAGUAGGUGGGGUAACGGCUCACCUAGGCGACGAUCCCUAGCUGGUCUGAGAGGAUGACCAGCCACACUGGAACUGAGACACGGUCCAGACUCCUACGGGAGGCAGCAGUGGGGAAUAUUGCACAAUGGGCGCAAGCCUGAUGCAGCCAUGCCGCGUGUAUGAAGAAGGCCUUCGGGUUGUAAAGUACUUUCAGCGGGGAGGAAGGGAGUAAAGUUAAUACCUUUGCUCAUUGACGUUACCCGCAGAAGAAGCACCGGCUAACUCCGUGCCAGCAGCCGCGGUAAUACGGAGGGUGCAAGCGUUAAUCGGAAUUACUGGGCGUAAAGCGCACGCAGGCGGUUUGUUAAGUCAGAUGUGAAAUCCCCGGGCUCAACCUGGGAACUGCAUCUGAUACUGGCAAGCUUGAGUCUCGUAGAGGGGGGUAGAAUUCCAGGUGUAGCGGUGAAAUGCGUAGAGAUCUGGAGGAAUACCGGUGGCGAAGGCGGCCCCCUGGACGAAGACUGACGCUCAGGUGCGAAAGCGUGGGGAGCAAACAGGAUUAGAUACCCUGGUAGUCCACGCCGUAAACGAUGUCGACUUGGAGGUUGUGCCCUUGAGGCGUGGCUUCCGGAGCUAACGCGUUAAGUCGACCGCCUGGGGAGUACGGCCGCAAGGUUAAAACUCAAAUGAAUUGACGGGGGCCCGCACAAGCGGUGGAGCAUGUGGUUUAAUUCGAUGCAACGCGAAGAACCUUACCUGGUCUUGACAUCCACGGAAGUUUUCAGAGAUGAGAAUGUGCCUUCGGGAACCGUGAGACAGGUGCUGCAUGGCUGUCGUCAGCUCGUGUUGUGAAAUGUUGGGUUAAGUCCCGCAACGAGCGCAACCCUUAUCCUUUGUUGCCAGCGGUCCGGCCGGGAACUCAAAGGAGACUGCCAGUGAUAAACUGGAGGAAGGUGGGGAUGACGUCAAGUCAUCAUGGCCCUUACGACCAGGGCUACACACGUGCUACAAUGGCGCAUACAAAGAGAAGCGACCUCGCGAGAGCAAGCGGACCUCAUAAAGUGCGUCGUAGUCCGGAUUGGAGUCUGCAACUCGACUCCAUGAAGUCGGAAUCGCUAGUAAUCGUGGAUCAGAAUGCCACGGUGAAUACGUUCCCGGGCCUUGUACACACCGCCCGUCACACCAUGGGAGUGGGUUGCAAAAGAAGUAGGUAGCUUAACCGGUCAACAGCCGUUUGAGCUAACCGGUACUAAUGAACCGUGAGGCUUAACCUUGAGAGGUUAAGCGACUAAGCGUACACGGUGGAUGCCCUGGCAGUCAGAGGCGAUGAAGGACGUGCUAAUCUGCGAUAAGCGUCGGUAAGGUGAUAUGAACCGUUAUAACCGGCGAUUUCCGAAUGGGGAAACCCAGUGUGUUUCGACACACUAUCAUUAACUGAAUCCAUAGGUUAAUGAGGCGAACCGGGGGAACUGAAACAUCUAAGUACCCCGAGGAAAAGAAAUCAACCGAGAUUCCCCCAGUAGCGGCGAGCGAACGGGGAGCAGCCCAGAGCCUGAAUCAGUGUGUGUGUUAGUGGAAGCGUCUGGAAAGGCGCGCGAUACAGGGUGACAGCCCCGUACACAAAAAUGCACAUGCUGUGAGCUCGAUGAGUAGGGCGGGACACGUGGUAUCCUGUCUGAAUAUGGGGGGACCAUCCUCCAAGGCUAAAUACUCCUGACUGACCGAUAGUGAACCAGUACCGUGAGGGAAAGGCGAAAAGAACCCCGGCGAGGGGAGUGAAAAAGAACCUGAAACCGUGUACGUACAAGCAGUGGGAGCACGCUUAGGCGUGUGACUGCGUACCUUUUGUAUAAUGGGUCAGCGACUUAUAUUCUGUAGCAAGGUUAACCGAAUAGGGGAGCCGAAGGGAAACCGAGUCUUAACUGGGCGUUAAGUUGCAGGGUAUAGACCCGAAACCCGGUGAUCUAGCCAUGGGCAGGUUGAAGGUUGGGUAACACUAACUGGAGGACCGAACCGACUAAUGUUGAAAAAUUAGCGGAUGACUUGUGGCUGGGGGUGAAAGGCCAAUCAAACCGGGAGAUAGCUGGUUCUCCCCGAAAGCUAUUUAGGUAGCGCCUCGUGAAUUCAUCUCCGGGGGUAGAGCACUGUUUCGGCAAGGGGGUCAUCCCGACUUACCAACCCGAUGCAAACUGCGAAUACCGGAGAAUGUUAUCACGGGAGACACACGGCGGGUGCUAACGUCCGUCGUGAAGAGGGAAACAACCCAGACCGCCAGCUAAGGUCCCAAAGUCAUGGUUAAGUGGGAAACGAUGUGGGAAGGCCCAGACAGCCAGGAUGUUGGCUUAGAAGCAGCCAUCAUUUAAAGAAAGCGUAAUAGCUCACUGGUCGAGUCGGCCUGCGCGGAAGAUGUAACGGGGCUAAACCAUGCACCGAAGCUGCGGCAGCGACGCUUAUGCGUUGUUGGGUAGGGGAGCGUUCUGUAAGCCUGCGAAGGUGUGCUGUGAGGCAUGCUGGAGGUAUCAGAAGUGCGAAUGCUGACAUAAGUAACGAUAAAGCGGGUGAAAAGCCCGCUCGCCGGAAGACCAAGGGUUCCUGUCCAACGUUAAUCGGGGCAGGGUGAGUCGACCCCUAAGGCGAGGCCGAAAGGCGUAGUCGAUGGGAAACAGGUUAAUAUUCCUGUACUUGGUGUUACUGCGAAGGGGGGACGGAGAAGGCUAUGUUGGCCGGGCGACGGUUGUCCCGGUUUAAGCGUGUAGGCUGGUUUUCCAGGCAAAUCCGGAAAAUCAAGGCUGAGGCGUGAUGACGAGGCACUACGGUGCUGAAGCAACAAAUGCCCUGCUUCCAGGAAAAGCCUCUAAGCAUCAGGUAACAUCAAAUCGUACCCCAAACCGACACAGGUGGUCAGGUAGAGAAUACCAAGGCGCUUGAGAGAACUCGGGUGAAGGAACUAGGCAAAAUGGUGCCGUAACUUCGGGAGAAGGCACGCUGAUAUGUAGGUGAGGUCCCUCGCGGAUGGAGCUGAAAUCAGUCGAAGAUACCAGCUGGCUGCAACUGUUUAUUAAAAACACAGCACUGUGCAAACACGAAAGUGGACGUAUACGGUGUGACGCCUGCCCGGUGCCGGAAGGUUAAUUGAUGGGGUUAGCGCAAGCGAAGCUCUUGAUCGAAGCCCCGGUAAACGGCGGCCGUAACUAUAACGGUCCUAAGGUAGCGAAAUUCCUUGUCGGGUAAGUUCCGACCUGCACGAAUGGCGUAAUGAUGGCCAGGCUGUCUCCACCCGAGACUCAGUGAAAUUGAACUCGCUGUGAAGAUGCAGUGUACCCGCGGCAAGACGGAAAGACCCCGUGAACCUUUACUAUAGCUUGACACUGAACAUUGAGCCUUGAUGUGUAGGAUAGGUGGGAGGCUUUGAAGUGUGGACGCCAGUCUGCAUGGAGCCGACCUUGAAAUACCACCCUUUAAUGUUUGAUGUUCUAACGUUGACCCGUAAUCCGGGUUGCGGACAGUGUCUGGUGGGUAGUUUGACUGGGGCGGUCUCCUCCUAAAGAGUAACGGAGGAGCACGAAGGUUGGCUAAUCCUGGUCGGACAUCAGGAGGUUAGUGCAAUGGCAUAAGCCAGCUUGACUGCGAGCGUGACGGCGCGAGCAGGUGCGAAAGCAGGUCAUAGUGAUCCGGUGGUUCUGAAUGGAAGGGCCAUCGCUCAACGGAUAAAAGGUACUCCGGGGAUAACAGGCUGAUACCGCCCAAGAGUUCAUAUCGACGGCGGUGUUUGGCACCUCGAUGUCGGCUCAUCACAUCCUGGGGCUGAAGUAGGUCCCAAGGGUAUGGCUGUUCGCCAUUUAAAGUGGUACGCGAGCUGGGUUUAGAACGUCGUGAGACAGUUCGGUCCCUAUCUGCCGUGGGCGCUGGAGAACUGAGGGGGGCUGCUCCUAGUACGAGAGGACCGGAGUGGACGCAUCACUGGUGUUCGGGUUGUCAUGCCAAUGGCACUGCCCGGUAGCUAAAUGCGGAAGAGAUAAGUGCUGAAAGCAUCUAAGCACGAAACUUGCCCCGAGAUGAGUUCUCCCUGACCCUUUAAGGGUCCUGAAGGAACGUUGAAGACGACGACGUUGAUAGGCCGGGUGUGUAAACGGACAUGGUUGGAGGGCGCUUACCACUUUGUGAUUCAUGACUGGGGUGAAGUCGUAACAAGGUAACCGUAGGGGAACCUGCGGUUGGAUCACCUCCUUA
rnacentral:rRNA from 1 species